rnacentral:lncRNA from 1 species
UCGGAAAGGAACACUCAAUUUAAUUGCAUGUACAGAUGGCAAAACAAAAACCUGACCUUAAAAUGUGGGCUUUGCUCUCUGUUCUCAUUAACUAAAAAGUUUUAUUGCCAACACAACAGUGCCGAUAGUUUUCCUUCACCUUAAAAGGCAGACGCUGGCUGUCUCUUCAUUGCAUUUGUAUUUCUUCUCCAUACGUUAAGCUAAAGUCUUAUGUUUUGAGCAAGAGUUUGUCUCGAUAUUACGCAACAUCUGCAAUCUGAUUUCUGAAAACGUCUGUCCUGUCUCGAAAAUGCUCUGCUCCUUUUGCCCCUGAGUUUUCCCCAGGUGUCGUGUGCCAGGGGAGUGUAUUCUGUCACCCUGCGGCACUAUGGCAACACUCCUCUUGCGAAUCCGACCAGCAGUGCAGCUGUAGUUCCCCUGCCAUGAGGCAGCGGAGCCCCUGGGAGAAAACAAUGUACUGCUCCAGACCACAAAACACACCGCCUGCUCAGGAAGUGACAUUCUGGGCCGUCAGUUCCCUAGCAGGUCUUCAGCCCUCGAAAACAAAGCCUGAAUGGCGGCUCUGGAACAAGGCAGCUUUAAUUCUGCCCAUUCACAACAAACAGGAUGGCCCUCUACUGUGUCGACUUCCCAGGCGCCCGCGGGCCACAGCCGACCACUGCACGGGGGAGGACUGGGGCCACUCCGGGCUGGGCGAGAAGUACCCCGGGCUGUGGGGGAUACCGCUGCCGCACAAGCUGCGCAGUGGGGGUACGACACAGGAGAGUCCCAAGAGUCUGGCGUACUGUACACCGUCCUUCCGAAACACCUGCGGGGAAGGACCGCCUCUGGAAGAGAAUCGCACUUUUAAAGCGCCGCUGGGUCACCAUGCACGUCUCCAGCAACGGCACGAAACGCAAUGUCACAAAAAAAUGAGACCCAUGUGACAACGACAUGUGGCCCGACAGUGCUGCUGCGGGCUCCGGACAAGAAGCUCGAACACGAAUCCAAUCAAAGGAAGGAGCCAGCCUGGCCGGAAGGUCAGCACCUACGGAAAGUGCCGUUAUUAACACCAGCAGGGAUACAUAAAUGUUCCACCCUCUUCCUGCUUGGCCCCGUUCUAGCCCAGUGCAGAGUGGAAGCUCGACUGACACUGCUUAAAGCUCUGGGUUCUGCCAACGACUGGCGACCCUCACAAACCGUCCCUGACGCCCCACAAGGGGAGAGCCCCCCGGACCGGGUGACAAGCCCGCGGCUCUCAUAGACCCCGGAAACUCACACAGCCCGUGGCCGAAAGCAAAGAAGACAACAAAAUAAAUCAAGGAGGACCCAGUUUCAUGAAGAGGGCACACGGGCCUAAACAACAAAAGAGGCAAAUAAAGAAGAGAGGGGAUAAAAGUCAAGCUGGUCUUGAAAGAGGGCUCCCUCAAGGCUGUCCUGACUAAUUCUGAGCACUGUUACCAGCCCUGCUCUUAUCUGUCCAGAUUAACUCCCAAUUGUUCCCCCUGAAACAAAGGUUGCCUCACAGGAAAUAAGCCCCCCAAAGACAGAUGGUCAGUGCAGCACGCUUUACUCCCUCCUGCCUGAAAGAGACACUGCCCGCAACCCAGAGACCACCACUGGAGCUGUCGACACAGGAACACUCCCUCCGCACCGAGACUAGACACUGGCAUCUGAACCCCGGGAGCACCUGGAGCACAGCAAGGCACUCCCACCGGCAAGAAGAUAUACAGCGAACCCAUCAG